rnacentral:lncRNA from 1 species
GUGGCCAAAAUACCUAUAAAAAGCAUAAUAUGUAGGAAUUCUCUAAAAAAAUCCUAGCAAAAAUUAGAGUCACCCUCAUCAAUCCAAAUACGCAGCAGCGAAGGCUCUAAAACAUCAUACUCUACCAAAACCCUAGCAACAGAUAGCUUAUUAUCCAUGACUAUGGCGUAAUUUGCACGUAUAGGUGUACCAAUAGCAACAUCAAUAAAAAAUAAAUAGAUUUAUAAUUAAUAAAAUGGAUAGGUAAAUAGGGUAAUGACACUUAAACAGGCAUAAUAUGAGAUUCCUCUAUAUAACAGAAGUCAAUACUCCAUUUUAAAUUUUGCAUACCUCGGCCGUUAACAUACCAAGUC